rnacentral:rRNA from 1 species
UACGGAGGGGGCUAGCGUUGUUCGGAAUUACUGGGCGUAAAGCGCGCGUAGGCGGCUUUGUAAGUUAGAGGUGAAAGCCCGGAGCUUAACUCCGGAACUGCCUUUAAGACUGCAUCGCUAGAAUCGUGGAGAGGUGAGUGGAAUUCCGAGUGUAGAGGUGAAAUUCGUAGAUAUUCGGAAGAACACCAGUGGCGAAGGCGACUCACUGGACACGUAUUGACGCUGAGGUGGCGAAAAGCGUGGGGAGCAAACAGG